rnacentral:rRNA from 1 species
GAUGAACGCUGGCGGCGUGCCUAAUACAUGCAAGUCGAGCGAACAGACGAGGAGCUUGCUCCUCUGACGUUAGCGGCGGACGGGUGAGUAACACGUGGAUAACCUACCUAUAAGACUGGGAUAACUUCGGGAAACCGGAGCUAAUACCGGAUAAUAUAUUGAACCGCAUGGUUCAAUAGUGAAAGACGGUUUUGCUGUCACUUAUAGAUGGAUCCGCGCCGCAUUAGCUAGUUGGUAAGGUAACGGCUUACCAAGGCAACGAUGCGUAGCCGACCUGAGAGGUGGAUCGGCCACACUGGAACUGAGACACGGUCCAGACUCCUACGGGAGGCAGCAGUAGGGAAUCUUCGGCAAUGGGCGAAAGCCUGACGGAGCAGCGCCGCGUGAGUGAUGAAGGUCUUCGGAUCGUAAAACUCUGUUAUUAGGGAAGAACAAAUGUGUAAGUAACUAUGCACGUCUUGACGGUACCUAAUCAGAAAGCCACGGCUAACUACGUG